CUUUUCCAGGGCAUCUUCCCGACCCAGGGAUGGAACCUGGGUCUCCUCCUUUGCAGGCAGAUUCUUUACUGUCUGAGCCACCAGGAGAGAUUUAAAUGGUUGUUGUGGGGAUUAAAUAAGAUGGACCAGAAAGGGUGCUAGCCCUUGUUGUUAGCAGUUUUGGAUCUUGUUUCUCAGUCUUUCUACAGCUACAUUUAUGGAUGACCUUGUGGAAUGAGGCCAUAUUCAGUGCCCCAGAAGGCUUGUCAUGUGGAAUUUCAAAGGAAAAGAAGUAGACUUCGGUUACUUAAAAAUCUCAUAUUCUUUCCUGAUUGGCACCAUAUUCUAACAUUUAUUUCCCCAGUGCUCCGUCCUCAGCCCCAUUUUCACCUUACAAUGUAUUCUUUUCCUUCUUUUUGUCUAACAGGGACAAGGAGGGUGGCAAGGAAGGGGUUUCCCCUUUCCUGAUUCCCAAAGCUACCCUCACUCUGAGUCUCUGCUAAGGGAACCAGCUUGUCUACCUGUGGGAAGAUCAGAAAACCAACCCUCAGCCUUGGCUCACCAGCAUGGAUGUGUGGGCAGCAGCCAAGCUGAGAAACCCAUCUGGACAUCAGGGCCCCCUGGGGAAAACAUGUCUGGCUCUGUUUGUAUUGGCUUCCAGAGCAGCCUUCUGACUUGAUGUUGUGCUAACUGGGGAUUGUGGGAAAGUCCAUCUGACCAGCAGCUUCCCGCAGGUGGCUUUUGAUUAAGCCAAUGGAGGGGCCUGAGAACCAGCAUGCAGCCUGGGACUCCAGGGAGGUCCGAGUCAGUAUGGACACCCACCUCCCCUUUCCUGGAGGAGAGAGGUGGAGAGCAGGGAAGGACCAACCCAGUCUCAGAAGCCAAUGUCACGUGCAGAAACCAAAAAUUCAAUUUUCACUGUUUGGCUUAAUUUGAAAGGCAGCGCUGACCCUACACUUGGCUGCCACGGGACAAAGGGUUUUCUCCAGCUGGGGUCAUUAAAGAGUGGACUCCAGGUCAGCACUGAGUAAAAUUUAACUUCUGUUUAUUUUUCUCCCUUUUCUUAUAAUGCUAUUGGCCCCAAAACACACUCCCCCACUCCUCCCUAUCCAUUUCUCUCACUAUGUCCUGACCAGGUUUCUGACAUGGACACUCUGAAAGCAGAAAUCAUUUCAUGCUUUUGACUUACUGGCCUUCCCAAGGUUGGGUUAAAUCUGAUAAGAGUCAAAUGAGUUUUGUUUGGCAGCAGCCAAAGAAGGAGCAGGUCCUAAGGGGAGAGAACAAAGUGAAGUUUGUGCAUGUGACCAUACCUUGGCCUCUCUCACAUGUGUCAGCUCAUCCCUCCCUCUGCCCUGGUCCUGUCCCUUCCUCCUUCCCUUCUCACUGUCAGAAGUUGGCCAGUUAGCAAACCCACAGGUACGAAGGCAGGAAUGACUGACUGCCCCACGCUCUCUGCUUUUCCAGUACCUUUGCGUUUUCUCGUGGAUCGGACUUCAUGGAAUUUCAGGAUGGGGAUCAGAAACUCUGUAAGGGUCAAGAUUUAAAGACAGGGUUAUAUUUGGGUAGAGAGCCAUGUAGAUUUUUACAGAGCCAGGUAGAUUUGGGUCUCAGCCAUGUGUGUUUUGAUCAAGUUGCCUAAUCAUUCUGAGCGUCAGUAUUCCCAACAACAGAAGACAGUAUCUUUUUUUCAGAAAUGACUAGUGUAAAGUUUCUAGCUCUAUGCCACCUCGCAGAUACUUGAUAAAUCUUCAGGGUUAUUGUGGUUAUCAGGCUGCUCCAUCUACACCUGAGCUGAAUCCUAGAUGAGGAAUGACUGUGAAAGAGGUCUAUUAUGGUGGGGAGGCAUGAUUACCUCUAUCUUCCUGUUAGUGUUGUGUCCCAUGGCUGACUCUGAGGAAACCGAGAAGCCAAAGAAGGAUGAGAGAGAAACAAGCAAAGAUAACGAUGUUGCCCUGCCUGGAGUACAUACCAAGUGGCGACAAGCUUGGUCACCAAAGUCACCAGGGUUUCGUUCACCCGAGGAGACAAGAAGCUCAGGGAACCAAGACUCUUGGAUAAUAGGCAGUAUUAGGUACACUCGGCUGAGACUGGUGACCCUGUCUCUGAGGGGUUCCCACAUGCCCUGGUGACCUCAGCUUUCACAGGCCACCAUUUUCUUUUGAGGCCAGUGAUUUUCCAGCCUAGCUGCCUGUUCGAAUCUCAUGUGGAAGUGGGCCUGACUAGCUUUAAAAGUACCUCAGGUGAAUCCACUGUUAUCAGAGCUGAGAAUCACUGUUCCAGACCCAGGCUGAGCCUGUCAGGGGUUCUUCUGUGGAGGGAAUUUCUUUUGGUAGAGUAUUCUCCCCAGAUGGAUCCCAAAUGAUCAGAAAAGGUUGAUGAUAAUUAUUCAUGUUGCUUAAUUUGUGUCAUGUUUUAAAAUCAUUUAUUUACUUUAAACUUUAUACAUUCCUUAUUCCAACAAGCACCAUCUAAUUUGGUAUAGUUAUCUUGCUUAAGCAAAUAGAUCCCAGCCUUCCAAUUAAAAAGAAAAAAAUGCAAGGAAGGAAGGGAGAAUCAUUACUGCGGCUUAUUUCUGGAGUAACAUUGAGUCACUUAGGGGUCGUUAAACUUAAGGGUGAGUCAAGGGAACCUUCUAGGGUGACUCCUUCAUUUCUCUAAACUGGUUGAUUAAACAGGAAGCCUCACAUGUAUUGAUGGAUACCUCAUCUCCUAGGAGUCCUCCUCCAUCAUCCAAGCUUUUUUUUUGAAAAGGCAAACUCUGCAAUUGACACACAUGUGAUGAGAAACCAGCAUACUAGCGGUUGACCAGGUUUCUACUCUCAUUGCCAAGAUGUAGCUUUUACAUCCCUAGACUUCUAGGAAAAUAUAUUUUAUUCUAAAGAGCCACUAUGAAACUUAGUGUUUGCGUAGUGUCAGGGAAAACUGAGGCUGAUGGCACUGCUGUUUUAUCUGGAAGGAUUACCGGGAAGCUCUGGGUCUCCCCACUGUCAAAUAUUGAUGUUUGGUUUUGUGGAAGAGUGAUGUGACCACUCAUGUUAGGUUCAGAUGAGCAUAAUUAGGACUGAGGGUGAGAAGUUAGAAAGAGACACAUAAGUACUAAGUAUGAUGGAGACACUUUUGUCCUCCAUGUUGACUGAGCUGCGCACCAGAGUGUCUCGUUCAAACACCUAAAGGUCAGUGUGGUGAGUACUUUUUUUUUUUUUUUUUAGUUUAACAGAUCUAAUGAAGGUCCAGUGGGGAAUACAUUUGGGAAGGCGCUCCAAACUUGGCUCUGGAGGCUCCUCUGGCAGGGGGAGGCCACCUCUCAGCUGCCCACACCUUCUGGAGUCCAAAUCUCAGGCCAGAGAGGGGCUGGCCUCCCAAGCUUGGGCUGUGGAAUCACCACCUGGGUGCCGGCUGGGUUCCAGGCCAGCCAAGCUGAGACAGGACAGGUCCUUGUAGCCCAGGCUGGUGCAUGGCUGAGUAGCUGGGUUACUAGUUACACCAAAGACUUUCAGCUGGCCAGGCAGAAGGGCUCCAUACGCCGAAACCAACGCAGGAGGAAGAAGCAACCAUGAGGGCAUGUGUUGAUUGGGGGAGCCAAAAGAUUGAAGUGGAGUGGGAUCCUGAGCUAACAAAUGGAGCUUGGCUGACCAGGAGAGACCUCCAGAUCUGUAGAAAACUCUGCAAAAAAUAAGAAAUAAACCUUUGACUCAAGACAUUGAAAUUUUUGUGGGCUGUUUGUUACCACAGAGCAACCUUGCUUGUCCUGACUGAUACAGCUUCUCUCUAACACACUCUGCAAAAUGGUUACCAUUUUACUUGUUCACUAAAAUUAUCUCUCUGAUCUAAGAGUUCUUUGUCUGGGCUCUAUCUAGGGAUACUGUUUUCUUUCAGUCGUAUUUGCUUUCAAUUCAGGUACAUGGGUGUGGGGCAGAUUAAUAAGAAACUUGCUCAAAAUGAGGCAGUUCUGUUUUAGAAAUCCUGCUGUAAACACACAUCUUCAUUCAGUUAAUCCCCAUGGUACUUCCUGUGUAAAACCAUUCAACAUUCCUUGGAGGUACAUGCACUUGCGUAUUAUUACUAAACCCCCUUGUGCUUGAUGUCACGUAAGCUUCAAAGAUUUGGUUUCUUUGAAAUAAUAGGAUCAUUCUAGAUUAAUACUAAUUUAUGAACUAUUAGUUUCCUGCACUUUUUAAAAGACCGAUAUUCAAAUAUUCAUAGAUUUCUUCUUGGGCAUUCUGAACACUUAAAAAUGUGUAUAUGUAUAUCACUUGUUAUAUUAAAUGGUUAUGGCACUUGCCUUAUGUUGUGUCUCUGCUAUGUUAUGUUCAGAAAUGAAGAGUCUAACUAUUAACAUUACUAAGGAAAUGUUUCUGAGCACCGUUGUUUUGAAGCAGGUGCUUUGUGAUUACAUGUGAGAGACUACCGUUAACAACAACAUGAGAAACCCAUAACAAUUCACUUGUUGUCCAAUAGCUCUUUUACAUGCAUUAUUUUGACUGAGUGCGAGCUAAAACUAUCUAGAUUAUUACUUUCAGCACUUAAUAGAUAAGGAAAUUGAAGCUUGGAGUUUAGAAACACUUUCCCUUGGCAAACUAGAUCAUAAAAUAUGGCUUUAGAUUGAGCUGUCCCUAUAUUUGCCUUUUGAAUUAAUACUUUAAUAAGUUACUUCUUUGGAUGUAAGAAAGAACUUGAGAAUAGAAUUUUUCAAAUUGAAUGUGCAGUUUAGAACUUCUCUCUUAGGAUCCACUGGUAAUUAGUAACUGAAUGGAAAUGAAUUGCAGCCCUGCGUGUUGGGAUUUUUGCCUCGUCUCUUCUCUCCUCCAUGGUCCCCAGCCCUCACGUGUGUCCUUCUGCCGGAAUGGAGAGUCAGCAUUGUUUUUCAUGUGGUGCACAUUGUGCCUCUGUGCUGUGGGGACUUAGAUUAAUUAUUGGACUCAAGUCCCUCUGGGAGGGAGGAAUAUGAGAUGACCACUUGUAAAGUGGCCAUUCCAAAAGAGCCAUCUCAAAUUCCCCAAAUAAACAUUGAAUCAAGAUAUCAUAUUAGUAUUCUAGAAGAGUCGGUUGCACGGCGUCACCGACUCAAUAGACAUGAGUUUGAGCAAACUCCGGGAGAUGGUGAGGGACAGGGAAGCCUGGUGUACUGCAAGUCCAUGGGGUCACAAAGAGUUGGACACGACUGAGAGACUAAACAACAGCAACAAUUCUAGAAGAGGGAAGGAAAAAUCAUUUAAUCUGAAAUAUUAAGAAUGGCACAGUGGUUUAGGUGAUAUUUUUGAAACAAUUUCAGUGAGUAGCAUGUCUAUGUCAUAUGUACUUGAUACUCUUUCUUCGAUUAGAGACAUUUACUACAAGUGAAAAUUUGGAGGGUGUCUCAUAUUUAAGAAGAAACAAAUUAUAGUAUAAUUCAACAGUAUAUUUCUGGUUAUGUACUCAUCAAAGACCUUAGAUCUUUUCCAGUUAUCAUACUAAUGUGCCUCCCACACUUUCUGUUAUUCAUGCAUCUAUAUAAUACAGGCUUAAAAAAGGAAAGAUUAAUAUUAUGUGCUGGUUGUAGAGGGAUAAAAAGAUAUUUAUCUCAAAGCUGUCUGGGUACUUUCUAAUUACUCUUAUCUAUGGGAACCAAAUCACUGGACUAUGAUUGAGUUAGACAAGAGAUCUGGGUUCUAAACUCAUCUCUGUUCCUACCUGACUGGAUGACUUGCACACACAGUCUUUCCAGGCCUUAGUUUCCUCCUCUGUAAAAGGAGAAGUUUCCACUAGAUUAUCUCUAAGGUCUCUCCAGCACCAAUAUUUUUUAUCCUUCAACAUUCAGAGAAUCUAAUGGCAACAUCUGGAAUUGAUUCAUGAAGGAAAGCGUAAUCAUACCAUUUGCCCCCACUCCUUUUAGCCUCAAACUACUAUAACUUUUCAUAGUCACAGAAUAUCCCUUCUCAGAUGAUACCAUAAAUUCAGAAGAUUACACUGAGCUUCUCUAUAACUUUUCUCUAAUGGGCUAAAGGAAAUUGCUCCAAUUGAAUUGGCAUGCUUGCAAACAACCAAUCUGUGAAAUCAGUGGACUUCACAUAGUCUAAGUUCUUUUAAAAAUAUAGUUUAAAGAGCCCAGAGCCUACUUUCCCCAUUGGCACAAUUUCACAUGUUUAUGUGGCAAAAGAAAAUUACUUCUUCCUGAAGUCGAGAUGGAGAGUAACUUAAACGUCAUAAAGUGAAUGUCUUUUAGGUGAGUUGGUUAAAAGUUUAUCCUGUAACGUGACAAAGGGUACAUUUUGGCCAAAACUGUGGCAGUUCUCAAAGAUAACGUUUUGAUAAUUUUUAGAAAAUGUAUUUUUAAAUUUUAAAAUAAGUGUCUGUUUACUGAAAGUUGCUGAGAAUUGUUCAGGGAGACACAAACUUGUCACAUGAGUUUCCCAUAGAUUGUCUGGCAUGUUUAUAGUGGACCUAACAAAAGAGAAGGCAUACAUACACACAAGAAUAGGGAGCAUAAAAAUGUAACAGUGAUAUGCAUUUGAUUGUGUUAAAUGAAAAAUACAAGUGAUGGUAUCAAAACACUACACCCAAUAACUGAAAACUAUCUUAAGAACAAAUGCUUGAUCAAAUACUAUUUGAGUAAUCACCAUUGGUAAACAGUUUUCCUUGCUUGGAUAGCAAAUGAACUCCUUGAAAACUUAGUUGGGUUAUAGACUUGUUUUCAUGUUUUAUUUUUGUGAAAAAAUUUUGCCACACAGAAGAUAUUCCAUUUUAAUUAAAAAAUUUUCUGACCACUGCUUUUCUGUGAUGAGUGCUUGUCUAAGAAUAUCAGCAUGCAUUGUAUUCUUUCAGCACAGUGUGUGUCCUUGCAUAAUAAAACCAUGCUUUUUGAAAAUAUAUUUUUAUUUAAGUAUAGUUAAUUUACAAUGUGUUCGUUUCUGCGGUAUAUCAGAGUGAUGCAGUUAUAUAUUCUUCUAAUAUUCUUUUUCAUUAUGCUUUACCCCAGGCUAUUGAAUAUAGUUCUCUGUGCUAUACAGUAGGAUUUUGUUGUUAAUCCAUUCUGUAUAUAAUAGGUUGCAUCUGUUAACCCCCAAAUUCCACUCCAUCCUUCCCCUGCACCACCCCCUCCCUUGCAACCACAGGUUUGUUUUCCAUGCCUGUUAGUCUAAAAUCAUGCUUUGAUAUCUAAUUUGAUAGCAAAAUUUUACUGUACCUUAAGAAUACAGCAAAUUUCACUUUUCUUGUCAUAAUGAGUAUACACAGGUAAUAAAGAAUUUUAAAAUAUCAAAAAAGAAUAAAUGAAAAUUAAUAAAAUCAAUAAGGAAUAAUGUGAGUACUUGGGAAUUUAAAAAUGUCAGAAAGAAAAUGUGUAAAACAGAGUUAUGUCCCUGAGAAUUUAAAAUACAUCCUGAGUCUAUUA